GUAACAAGGUUUCCGUAGGUGAACCUGCGGAAGGAUCAUUACUGAAGAAUAGGGCUUGAGACUGCGAACGUGUGCUCGACCUCCUCUUCAACACACACCUUUGUGCACUUCCCCAUUUUCAUAUAAAAACCUAGUUAUAUGCAUGUCUUUUAUACUCUAUGGAGUAAUGUACAACUUUCAACAACGGAUCUCUUGGCUUUCGCAUCGAUGAAGAACGCAGCGAACGUGCGAAACGUAAUGUGAAUUGCAGAAUUCAGUGAAUCAUCGAAUCUUUGAACGCAUCUUGCGCUCCUUGGCAUUCCGAGGAGCAUGCCUGUUUGAGUGUCGUGAAUACUCUCAAUUUCAAUCUUUUUGUUUGAAAUUGGAUUUGGACGUUGUUGUGGAAAUCACGACUCGUCCUAAAUACAUUAGCGAGUCUGCCUUGAUCACGCACAAUGUGAUAAAAAAACAUUGUUAAGAUCAAGUCAAUUGCUUCUAACCGUCGAAAGACAAACUCAUGUCAUUUGACCUCAAAUCAGGUAGGACUACCCGCUGAACUUAAGC
rnacentral:rRNA from 1 species